ensembl:rRNA 5S_rRNA 5S ribosomal RNA
AUCUACAGUCAUAGCACCCUAAACACGCCCAGUGUUGUCUGAUCUCAGAAGCUAAGUAGGGACGGGCCUAGUUAAGUGCUUAAAUGGGAGGAGUGAGGGACAUACAGAUA